CCCGCACAAGCGGUGGAGCAUGUGGUUUAAUUCGACGCAACGCGAAGAACCUUACCUAGGUUUGACAUGCAUUGGACCGGCUGUGAAAGCAGUCUUCCCUUCGGGGCCGAUGCACAGGUGCUGCAUGGCUGUCGUCAGCUCGUGUCGUGAGAUGUUGGGUUAAGUCCCGCAACGAGCGCAACCCUUACCCUUUGUUGCUACCGGGUCAUGCCGGGCACUCUGAGGGGACUGCCCCGGUUAACGGGGAGGAAGGUGGGGAUGACGUCAAGUCCUCAUGGCCUUUAUGCCUAGGGCUACACACGUGCUGCAAUGGUCAGGACAAAGGGCUGCUACGUCGCAAGGCGUUGCCAAUCCCAAAAACCUGGCCCCAGUUCGGAUGGUCGGCUGCAACUCGCCGGCUUGAAGCUGGAAUCGCUAGUAAUCGGAGAUCAGCACGCUCCGGUGAAUACGUUCCCGGGCCUUGUACACACCGCCCGUCACACCACGAAAGCUGCGUGUACCAGAAUCACUGAGCUAACCCGCAAGGGAGGCAGUCCGAAGUUCGGUAUUG
rnacentral:rRNA from 1 species